AAACACAAAAUCCCAGAAAUUCACCAUUAAUUUUGAUCCAAUGCUUUGCCGAUUUUUAUCUAUUUGACGGAAAUAUGCUCUGGAAACUUACCCAAAUAUUUAGAAUGUUUCGAUAUAGCGUUUGUAGUUUCAAAUCAUGAGGUCACAUGACACCUUCCGCAGCAUAUCUAUAGCACUUUAGAACAGGCUCGGUCCGAGAACAUUUCUUCUGAGGUUAUGUAAUAAACAGAUGCAUCCUAUAUACGGCCUUGGAUGCAUCACGCUUCUGUGGCGGCGGUGGAAACAGUUGACGGUGUGGCAAUUAUCCUCAAUAGUCAAUUCUAUACGGUCUUUAAAUAAAGAAGAUGUCAUUUUGCUCCUGGUUUGGAGGUGAAAAGUACAGAGAUCAUUUUGAACAUGGUCUGUACGCCUGCUCCGAGUGCAGCCACCCGCUGUUCCCCAGCGAGGCAAAGUACCAGCACCACACUCCGUGGCCAGCCUUCACCAAGCCUGUGUCUGCAGAUGCCCUGAAAAGGAGGAAGGAGUCGUCAACAGCGUUCAAGGUCUGUACGGCUGCGCCGAAUGCGGACACCCGCUGUUCCGCAGCUCUGCCAAGUACGAGCACCACACCCCGUGGCCGGCUUUUACUGAGCCGGUGGCCGAUGACUCGCUGAGCAAACUACCCGAGACUGAGCAGCAGGAGAGCUCGCAUUGCACGGCGCUGAAGGUGCUGUGCGGAAAGUGCGGUAACGGCCUGGGUCACGAGUUCAUCGGAGACGGCCCCAAGGGCGGCUCGCGCUUCUGAAUAUUCUCUCACGCCCUCAAGUUUGUACCUCACAAAGAGGUCAUCAAGCGUGAGGGCGCUGCCAACGGCACCAGCACGGGGUCGGCCUCCGGUGAUGUGAAGAAGCAGUAAGCGGUGAAGAUGUGGAUUGUGGAAACUAUCGCGGGGCCGGCCGGUCGGGCGGCGAGAACGGAAAUUGGUGGGCGGACGCUGUCGAUAAGGCAUGGGUGAGACAACCAUGGAGUGCUGACUAUCGCACGAACACUGGACGCAAAUAUUGGUCAUUCGUUUACACACGGAUCUGAAUCCGCGUCAGAAAUGACAGUACUAAUUACUUGAAAUGCAGCCUGCGGUCCACGCUUAUAAAGUCAAAGGUAACCAGAUUUGUCCGUGAUCCGUCACUGGUUCAAACGAAACUGGCAAACCGAAACAAAACAGAAAUAGGGAAGCAAAUCGAACAAACAAGCACACGGCGGUGGCGGCGCCGGGCGGCUCCUGAGUCGGUGUCGGAUGACGCUCAGUGGGCAGACCGCUGCGGCGGACCCACUGGGCCGAAGGUACGCCCCGACCGCGGCGUCCCGGCACCGCUACCGGCGUGACCCGACCGGUCGGCGCCCGGGGGGGGGAGGGAGAGGGGGAAGAGACUGGUAUGUAGACGGGUAGAGAAGUAGGGAAGGAGGGAGUGAGGGAGGGAGGCAGAGAGUGUUCUACAGAGGGAUUAAGGGCCGUGUGGUGUACUCUUAUUUCGUACCUGUGGUGUGGGGACGGGGGAGGGGGCGUUUUGGAGCGUCAAGUGAAAUGAGAGGCGUGUCAUCAACGAAGGCGCGUGCUACGACUCAGCUACCACGUCACGUUUCUAUUGGUGCGAUGUUCCCGACAUGACGUAUUCAGGUUCAGUGAACGUUGUUUGUCGCGAUAUAUUUGUUCUAAGUGCUAAACGUCAUUUAUUCGUAAUCCGGCCCAGCUUUGGAGGGACACGGGUAACAGUUUUCAGUUCUAAGUUUCUCGAUACUGAUUGCCCCAGCAUGACAUGCGCCCACGUUCCUCAAGGCGCUGAUAUCGCUUUUGUUCGUAUUCUACUCUGGUGCGUUUGAUAGAACGCCUCUUGUUCAGUUUACUCUACGGAGACUGAACAUCUGACGUUUUUAGAUUGUUUCCUACUUUAGGACGGUGCAACGAUAUUUGUCAACGUAUUGCUAUCGCGUCGCACUUCAAAGUGCUACUUUGCUGCUGCGAGACGUUCUCUAUCGUGAACCGCGCAGAUACUGCGGCCUUUAUGCGUGUUCCCGCUCAUCACAUGCUAUUGUGGCGCUUAUAAAUGUAUUUAUUUUCGCACGAAUAGAAGCGCGAAUGUCAUGUCA